GCCGCCGUAGCUCAAUUGGUAAGAGCAUCGGGUGCGCAAUCCAAAGGCUGCAGGUUCGGUCCCUGCCGGCGGCA
rnacentral:tRNA from 1 species